UCCUACGGGAGGCAGCAGUCGGGAAUUUUGGGCAAUGGGCGAAAGCCUGACCCAGCAACGCCGCGUGAAGGAUGAAGUAUUUCGGUAUGUAAACUUCGAAAGAAUGGGAAGAAUCAAUGACGGUACCAUUUAUAAGGUCCGGCUAACUACGUGCCAGCAGCCGCGGUAAUACGUAGGGACCAAGCGUUGUUCGGAUUUACUGGGCG
rnacentral:rRNA from 1 species